UAGUGGGACACACAGGUGGAGUAUGGUCA
rnacentral:piRNA from 1 species